rnacentral:rRNA from 1 species
AACGAACGCUGGCGGCAGGCUUAACACAUGCAAGUCGAACGCCCCGCAAGGGGAGUGGCAGACGGGUGAGUAACGCGUGGGAAUCUACCGUGCCCUGCGGAAUAGCUCCGGGAAACUGGAAUUAAUACCGCAUACGCCCUACGGGGAAAGAUUUAUCGGGGUAUGAUGAGCCCGCGUUGGAUUAGCUAGUUGGUGGGGUA